CUUCCCAUUCCGAACAGGGCCGUUAAGCCCGCCAGCGCCGAUGGUACUGCUACACCAAGCGGGAGAGUAGGUGGCCGCCAAAC
rnacentral:rRNA from 1 species